GGAUGUGAGGGCGAUCUGGCUGCGACAUCUGUCACCCCAUUGAUCGCCAGGGUUGAUUCGGCUGAUCUGGCUGGCUAGGCGGGUGUCCCCUUCCUCCCUCACCGCUCCAUGUGCGUCCCUCCCGAAGCUGCGCGCUCGGUCGAAGAGGACGACCUUCCCCGAUAGAGGCGUACCGUUCAUCGGUCAAGGGUAUACGGUAGCUGCGCUCCCCUGCUAGAACCUCCAAACAAGCUCAAGGUCCAUUUGUAGGAGAACGUAGGGUAGUCAAGCUUCCAAGACUGCAGACACAUCCAAGUGAGGCACUGCAUGGGGCAGUCUGCCAUUGUUU
ensembl:misc_RNA 7SK 7SK RNA